rnacentral:rRNA from 1 species
GCAAGUCGAGCGGUAACAUUUCUAGCUUGCUAGGAGAUGACGAGCGGCGGACGGGUGAGUAAUGCUUGGGAAUAUGCCUUAUGGUGGGGGACAACAGUUGGAAACGACUGCUAAUACCGCAUAAUGUCUACGGACCAAAGGGGGCUUCGGCUCUCGCCUUUAGAUUGGCCCAAGUGGGAUUAGCUAGUUGGUGAGGUAAUGGCUCACCAAGCCUACGAUCUAUAGCUGGUUUGAGAGGAUGAUC